GUUAAGCGACUAAGCGUACACGGUGGAUGCCCUGGCAGUCAGAGGCGAUGAAGGACGUGCUAAUCUGCGAUAAGCGUCGGUAAGGUGAUAUGAACCGUUAUAACCGGCGAUUUCCGAAUGGGGAAACCCAGUGUGUUUCGACACACUAUCAUUAACUGAAUCCAUAGGUUAAUGAGGCGAACCGGGGGAACUGAAACAUCUAAGUACCCCGAGGAAAAGAAAUCAACCGAGAUUCCCCCAGUAGCGGCGAGCGAACGGGGAGCAGCCCAGAGCCUGAAUCAGUAUGUGUGUUAGUGGAAGCGUCUGGAAAGGCGCGCGAUACAGGGUGACAGCCCCGUACACAAAAAUGCACAUGCUGUGAGCUCGAUGAGUAGGGCGGGACACGUGGUAUCCUGUCUGAAUAUGGGGGGACCAUCCUCCAAGGCUAAAUACUCCUGACUGACCGAUAGUGAACCAGUACCGUGAGGGAAAGGCGAAAAGAACCCCGGCGAGGGGAGUGAAAAAGAACCUGAAACCGUGUACGUACAAGCAGUGGGAGCACGCUUAGGCGUGUGACUGCGUACCUUUUGUAUAAUGGGUCAGCGACUUAUAUUCUGUAGCAAGGUUAACCGAAUAGGGGAGCCGAAGGGAAACCGAGUCUUAACUGGGCGUUAAGUUGCAGGGUAUAGACCCGAAACCCGGUGAUCUAGCCAUGGGCAGGUUGAAGGUUGGGUAACACUAACUGGAGGACCGAACCGACUAAUGUUGAAAAAUUAGCGGAUGACUUGUGGCUGGGGGUGAAAGGCCAAUCAAACCGGGAGAUAGCUGGUUCUCCCCGAAAGCUAUUUAGGUAGCGCCUCGUGAAUUCAUCUCCGGGGGUAGAGCACUGUUUCGGCAAGGGGGUCAUCCCGACUUACCAACCCGAUGCAAACUGCGAAUACCGGAGAAUGUUAUCACGGGAGACACACGGCGGGUGCUAACGUCCGUCGUGAAGAGGGAAACAACCCAGACCGCCAGCUAAGGUCCCAAAGUCAUGGUUAAGUGGGAAACGAUGUGGGAAGGCCCAGACAGCCAGGAUGUUGGCUUAGAAGCAGCCAUCAUUUAAAGAAAGCGUAAUAGCUCACUGGUCGAGUCGGCCUGCGCGGAAGAUGUAACGGGGCUAAACCAUGCACCGAAGCUGCGGCAGCGACGCUGAUGCGUUGUUGGGUA
rnacentral:rRNA from 1 species